rnacentral:rRNA from 1 species
UACGUAGGUGGCUAGCGUUGUCCGGAUUUACUGGGCGUAAAGAGCGCGCAGGCGGUCGUUCAAGUCGAGUGUGAAAGCCCCCGGCUCAACUGGGGAGGGUCACUCGAUACUGAUCGACUCGAAGGCAGGAGAGGGAAGCGGAAUUCCCGGUGUAGUGGUGAAAUGCGUAGAUAUCGGGAGGAACACCAGUGGCGAAGGCGGCUUUCUGGCCUGCUCUUGACGCUGAGGCGCGAAAGCAUGGGGAGCGAACAGG